GACGAACGCUGGCGGCGUGCUUAACACAUGCAAGUCGAACGGAAAGGCCCUGCGUUUGUGGGGUGCUCGAGUGGCGAACGGGUGAGUAACACGUGAGUAACCUGCCCUUGACUUUGGGAUAACUUCAGGAAACUGGGGCUAAUACCGGAUAGGAGCUCCUGCUGCAUGGUGGGGGUUGGAAAGUUUCGGCGGUUGGGGAUGGAUGGGCGGCUUAUCAGCUUGUUGGUGGGGUAGUGGCUUACCAAGGCUUUGACGGGUAGCCGGCCUGAGAGGGUGACCGGCCACAUUGGGACUGCGAGACGGACCAGACUCCUACGGGAGGCAGCAGUGGGGAAUAUUGCACAAUGGGCGGAAGCCUGAUGCAGCAACGCCGCGUGCGUGAUGACGGCCUUCGGGUUGUAAACCGCUUUAGCCUGUGACGAAGCGUGAGUGACGGUAAUGGGUAAAGAAGCACCGGCUAACUACGUG
rnacentral:rRNA from 1 species